rnacentral:tRNA from 1 species
UGGAGCGUAGUUCAGUGGUAGAACAGCCGGCAGACCCGGAGUGUCGCACGUUCGAAUCGUGCCGCUCCAGCCA